rnacentral:rRNA from 1 species
UGGGGAAUUUUGGACAAUGGGCGCAAGCCUGAUCCAGCCAUGCCGCGUGCGGGAAGAAGGCCUUCGGGUUGUAAACCGCUUUUGUCAGGGAAGAAAUCUUCUGAGUUAAUACCUCGGGAGGAUGACGGUACCUGAAGAAUAAGCACCGGCUAACUACGUGCCAGCAGCCGCGGUAAUACGUAGGGUGCAAGCGUUAAUCGGAAUUACUGGGCGUAAAGCGUGCGCAGGCGGUUUUGUAAGACAGAGGUGAAAUCCCCGGGCUCAACCUGGGAACUGCCUUUGUGACUGCAAGGCUUGAGUGCGGCAGAGGGGGAUGGAAUUCCGCGUGUAGCAGUGAAAUGCGUAGAUAUGCGGAGGAACACCGAUGGCGAAGGCAAUCCCCUGGGCCUGCACUGACGCUCAUGCACGAAAAGCGUGGGGAGCAAAACAGGAUUAGAUACCCUGGUAGUCCAGCCCUAAAACGAUGUCAACUGGUUGUU